GAUGAACGCUGGCGGCGUGCUUAAUACAUGCAAGUCGAACGAGGGACUUCUGUCUUCGGAUGGAGGUUUCCUAGUGGCGAACGGGUGAGUAACGCGUUGGUGACCUGCCCCGAAGUGGGGGAUAACAGUUCGAAAGGACUGCUAAUACCUCAUGUGAUCAGCUGGAUUAGAUGCCUACUGAUUAAAGGGGAAAGCCGCUUUGGGAGGGGCCUGCGUCCCAUCAGCUAGUUGGUAGGGUAAUGGCCUACCAAGGCGAUGACGGGUAGGGGACCUGAGAGAGUGGCCCCCCACACUGGCACUGAAAUACGGGCCAGGCACCUACGGGUGGCAGCAGUAGGGAAUAUUGGACAAUGGGCGAAAGCCUGAUCCAGCAACGCCGCGUGCGCGAUGACGGCCUUCGGGUUGUAAAGCGCUUUUAGAGGAGAUGAGAAAGGACAGUAUCCUCAGAGUAAGCCUCGGCGAACUACGUGCCAGCCGCCGCCGUAAAAC
rnacentral:rRNA from 1 species